GGGAGCCGGGUGCGGUGAAAGUCGCACGCCCGGAUCUAACUGAGAGGGGCGAGGAAUAAUAUCCUCCCUCGACUCAAC
rnacentral:ncRNA from 1 species